ensembl:lincRNA
AUGUCGCUUCCGUCUCUGUCCUUGUGUGCAGGAGAAGCAUCGAUGGAGGCGUUGGAGCUGGAGCUGGAAGAAGUGGAGUCCCAGAUCCGCGCGCUGGUGGUAAGACGGUCGCGGCUACGGGAACGGCUUCUAGCCGUACCUCAUGCUAAGGCCGUCUCAUCACCUAAGGUACGUGGAAAUUACAACCACAUCAUUCCCUCUACCUCAACCCCGCGUCCUUCUCUGUCCAGGCCCAGCGCACCCGGGGCGCGGCUCAGCCAGGCGUCGUUCACGCCGACACCCGGCUACCACGGCGCCUGGGUGCAGCCGCGCAAGGUGCUUCCCAGAUCCCGGGGCAGAACGUCUCCGCCUGUGUUCGAGAUCUCCACGGAGAACCGCUUCUCCCCGCUCCGCGAGUCGGGUCCGGUGGCCAUCAUCGGUGACUCGAUCGUUCGUCACGUCCGUGCCGCCUCCUCAAAAGGUAAUAAAGUACGUACUUUCUGCUUUCCUGGUGCCCGUGUGAAAAAUAUUUCUACACAGAUUCCAACCAUCCUGGGCGCUGCCGAGAGCCCUGGUGCCGUUGUCCUCCACGUGGGGACAAACGACACCGGGCUCCGGCAGUCGGAGAUCCUGAAGAAGGACUUCAGGAGCCUGAUCGAGACGGUUCGACGCACCUCGCCCGCCACGCAGAUCAUCGUUUCUGGGCCGCUUCCUACCUACCGCCGAGGAAAUGAAAGGUUCAGUAGACUUUUAGCUUUGAAUGAAUGGCUAAUAACAUGGUGUAAAGAACAAAAAUUGCUCUUUGCUAAUAACUGGAAUCUUUUCUGGGAGCGUCCUAGGCUCUUCCGUCCUGACGGCCUGCACCCCAGUCGAGCCGGAGCUGAACUCCUGUCGGACAACAUCUCCAGACUACUUCGCACCAUCUGA